rnacentral:lncRNA from 1 species
UCCCCGCCCUCCGCCCCCUCCGCCCCUCCCCGGUCCUCACGCAGACACAUUCAAGCCUGCUCCUCCUCUUCCCCCUCCUUGACCCCGCGCCCGCUCGGCGCGCCGAGGCCCCACCCACCCGGCGAGGGGAAGGGGGCCCGGGCGUGAUGUCACCGCCGCCCUCCCCGCCCGCGCUCGCGGGGCCGCCCCGCCGCCCCCCCUCCCGGGCGCCCCGCGCGCCCGGGCUGCGUCUGCCGGCUCCCCUCGCCUCCCACCCGCCUCUCCGCUCCCCUUGCUCCCGCGCCCAGUUUGGGCUCCGCUUUCUUCUUUCAGGGCCUCUCGGAUCACAACCCCCGCCCCCCCUUGGCUCGCCCGCUCCUGCUGGCCAGCCUGCAGGCGUCUCUUCGUUUUGCAGUGUACACCACCUGAAUCUGUAACCCCAAAGAGGAGUUCCCACGGGGGGGAACAAAAGAAGAAAAAGAAAGCGAACCCCGGUGGCGCUCCCAAAUCCACCCUUCCCAGGGGUCGGCUCCACUGCCUUGGUCAUCGGCUCACAUCACCCGGCGGCAGACAAGGCUCAGCACUUCCUUGAGUUUCCGUGAAGCGAAGCCACAUGCCUUUACCAAAUCCGCCACGCUCCUGAAAACAUUUCGAGUUUGCUGGUUUUGCUGCAAAUAAUCCAUGGACACAAAUGGCCUCACUUUGAGCACCAAGACGUUAGACACGAUGACACUGUGGAUUUUAAUAAGUCAGCUUGGAUUCUCAGUGGAAUAGCGGGACCUGAUGGUGCCUUUGGAAAGCAGUUUCAGCUCCUGUGGGAGCCGUGCAAGGAAGAGAAGAAAAGAGAAGCCUGUGUUUUACGAUGCUUUCUUGCCCUGGAAUUUCAGAUGCGUCGGCACAGGGCCUGGCCUAUAGUGUGUCUGCGGUCCGUGUUCCCGUACCUGUACUUCCCCAUUUUUAUCCACUUAUUGCCAUCUUCAUCGGUUGUAAGGGCACCGUUCAGUGGUAUCAAGUAUCUUCACAUUGUUAGGACUUUUGCAUCUUGCACACCUGAAACUCUGUGCCCUGUUAAACAACUCCCCGUUUCCCCUGGCAACUGCCAUUCUGCUUUUUCUCUCUGUGAUUCCAUGUACUCUCAGUGCUUUAUAUAAAUGGAACCAUACAGUGUCUGUCUUUUUUUUGUCUGCCAUGUUUCACCCAGCAUAAUGGCCUCAGGGUUCAUCCGUGUUGAGGCAUGGGUCAGGAUAUUUCCUUCCUUUUUAGGGCUGAAUAGUAUGUUAUUGUAUAUAUACAUCACAUUUUUCUUUAUUCAGUCCUCUAUUUUUUUUUUCCUUUUUGCUUUUUAGGACUGCACCUGCGGCAUGUGGAAGUUCCCAGGCAAGGGGUUGAAUCAGAGGUACAGCUGCCAGUCGACGCCAUAGCCAUAGACACUGAGGAUCCAAGCCACAUCUGUGACCUACAUCACAGCUCAUAGCAACACUGGAUCCUUAACCCACUGCGUGAGGCCGGGGAUUGAACCCACAUCCUCCCUUCAUUGGGUUUGUUACUGCUGAGCCACAAGGGGAAACCCCUAGGGAAGGAUUCUUGGGCCACUUUUGCCUCGUGCAAAUAUCUCUCUGAGACCCUGCUUUCAAUUCUUUUUCUUUUUUUUUUUCUUUUUGGCUGUGCCUGCAGCAUGCAGAAAUUCCUGAGCGGGGUAUUGAACCCCUGCCAUAGCGGCAGUCCAAGCCACAGCAGUGACAGUGCUGGAUUCUUAACUGCUAGGCCACCAGAGAACUCCCAGUUCUUUUGGGUAAAUACGCAGAAGUAGAAUUACUGGGUCAUAUGGUAAUUCUAUUUUUAUUUAUCUAAGGAGCUGCUAUAAUGCUACACUGCUUUCACAGCAGCUGCUCCGUUUUACAUUCCCACAAACUGUACACAAAAUCUCUGGUUUCUCCACUUUCUUGCUAACCCUUCAAACCUUGUUAUUUUCUGUUUUGUUUUGUUUUAACCUAGUAGUCAUCCUCAUGGGUGUGAGGUGAUAACUCAUUGCGAUUUUUUUUUUUUUUCGGCCAAGCCUGCAGCAUGCGGAAGUUCCUGGGCCAGGGAUUGAACCCGCACCACAGAGUGGACCAAGCCUCUGCAGCGGCAACGUUGGAUCCUUAACCUGCUGCGCCACAAGAGAACGCCUCAUUGUGAUCUUCUUUAAAUUUAUUUCUUUUUAUUUUUUAUUGAAGUAUAGUUGAUUUUAAUGUUUCAGAUACACAACAGAGUGUGUUACACAUGUGUGUUUGUGUGUAUAUGUGUAUAACACAUACAUUCAUGUACAUACAAUCUUAAUAAUCAGUAAAGAAAAGAAUACCUUUGUGUAGCCUGCCAAGAUCAGGACGAAAAUUUGGUAUUUUCCUCUCCAUCCCACCCUUGCUUUUUAAACCAUCAAAAAUGUAACACUAGUACCCCAUUACUGGCAAGGGUGCCAUGAACUGGGACUGUCAGCCAUGGUGAUUAGCAACACGUUAAUCUGCCAAGAACCUGUUUUGGAAAGACACGUGGCUGUGUGAGCUGCCCCUGCAGACAGACUGAUGUGAACCCAGUCCCCUCCCCGUCCACAGAGGGACCUGGGGUCAAGUACUCACCUUCUCUAAGGCUGAAUUUCCUCUUCCGUUAAAGCGAACAUGAUAAUGAUGCCUGAUUUAGAAGAGUCCUUGUUUAGGACUAAGAAGAAAAUAAUUACUACAGGGAUUCUAAAUUAAGAAACAAACAGGGAGUUCCCGUUGUGGCGCAGUGGUGAACGAAUCCGACUAGGAACCAUGAGGUUGUGGGUUCGAUCCCUGGCCUCGCUCAGUGGGUUAAGGAUCCGGCAUUGCCGUGAGCUGUGGUAUAGGUUGCAGAUGCGGCUCGGAUCCCGUGUUGCUGUGGCUGUGGCAUAGGCCGGUGACUACAGCUCCAAUUGGACCCCUAGCCUGGGAACCUCCAUAUGCUAUGGGAGCAGCCCUAAAAAAGACCAGAAAAAAAAAGAAACAAACAAACAAAUCAAGAAAAAAAAGUAUGUAUUUUAAAUCACUCAUAUUUUAAAAAUUUGGAAAUCACUUAAAUGUCCACCAAUAAGAGCCAUUGAGCAUAUGACCGAACAGCUUUUUGGUAGAAUGUUUCGCAGCCAUUAAACGAACACUUACGAAGAUUAUGCAGCAAAUAAAAAGAACAUAAAUACCUAAACA